rnacentral:rRNA from 1 species
UACGUAGGGUGCAAGCGUUAUCCGGAAUUAUUGGGCGUAAAGGGCUCGUAGGCGGCGUGUCGCGUCGGGAGUGAAAGCCCGUUGCUUAACGGCGGGUUGGCUUUCGGUACGGGCAGUGCUGGAGUGCGGCAGGGGAGACUGGAAUUCCUGGUGUAGCGGUGGAAUGCGCAGAUAUCAGGAGGAACACCAGUGGCGAAGGCGGCGACCUGGGCCAAUAUUGACGCUGAGGUGCGAAAGCGUGGGGAGCAAACAGG